rnacentral:tRNA from 1 species
AUGGGGAUAGCGCAAGUGGCAGCGCACGUGCCUUGGGAGCACGAGGUUGUGGGAUCGUGGCCCACUCCCCAUACCA